rnacentral:tRNA from 1 species
AUUUAAAUAGUUUAAGUAAAAUUUUAGGUUGUGGGUCUAAAGAUAUACAUUGUAUUUUAAAUA